UAUUGUAUGUUGAGGACAUGAAGAAGCUUUAUGGAAAGGGUGGCUUCGAAGAUGCAAAGGACAUAGCUGCUUCUGUGAAUGAUCUGCUGGAGGAUGACGACAGUAACGGCACCAUAAUUCACACGUGUCCCGAAGGACAGAAUCGUAGGGUGAAGAUAGAGGCGACUGAUGAAUCAACUUAAGGAGUCACUCUCAAAUACAUUGCCAAGCAGUUGGUUAUCAGAGAGGUUCUGAGAUCGAUUAGCGUGAAAUUUUGUACAGCAAAACGUCAAUGUUCAUUUUUUAAUUAAAAACUAUGCUGAAGCAA